AUUGAACGCUGGCGGCAGGCCUAACACAUGCAAGUCGAGCGAGCGGCGGACGGGUGAGUAAUGUCUGGGAAACUGCCUGAUGGAGGGGGAUAACUACUGGAAACGGUAGCUAAUACCGCAUACCAUCAGAUGUGCCCAUAUGGGAUUAGCUAGUAGGUGGGGUAAUGGCUCACCUAGGCGACGAUCCCUAGCUGGUCUGAGAGGAUGACCAGCCACACGGGGACUGAGACACGGUCCAGACUCCUACGGGAGGCAGCAGUGGGGAAUAUUGCACAAUGGGCGCAAGCCUGAUGCAGCCAUGCCGCGUGUGUGAAGAAGGCCUUCGGGUUGUAAAGCACUUUCAGCGAGGAGGCGUUACUCGCAGAAGAAGCACCGGCUAACUCCGUGCCAGCAGCCGCGGUAAUAC
rnacentral:rRNA from 1 species